rnacentral:rRNA from 1 species
AUCUUACCGGGUCCGGACACACUGAGGAUUGACAGGCAAUAUUAGCACUUAGCUUCGGCGACGUGUUAUGUUAAAUAUGCUAGUCCUUUCAUGAUUAUGUGAUAGGUGGUGCA